rnacentral:rRNA from 1 species
UCUGAUUGUCUUUGAUCCCCUAUUCUGAUCGUCUUUGAUCCCUUAUCACUCUGAUUGUCUUUGAUCCCCUAUGGUUGUCCAAUACACUACCAUGGCAGUCACGGGUAACGGAGAAUUAGGGUUCGAUUCCGGAGAAGGAGCCUGAGAAACGGCUACUACAUCUAAGGAAGGCAGCAGGCGCGUAAAUUACCCAAUCCUAAAUCAGGGAGGUAGUGACAAGAUAUAACAACGCGAUUAAAUAUCGCGAUUGUAGUGAGGGUAUUCUAAAAAUAGCUUCGAGUACGAUUGGAGGGCAAGUCUGGUGCCAGCAGCCGCGGUAAUUCCAGCUCCAAUAGCGUAUAUUAAAGUUGUUGCAGUUAAAAAGCUCGUAGUUGGAUUUCAAGAAACGCAUCUGGGCAACCAGUUUGCUUUCUUCCAGUCUUUGACUGUUACUGUGAGAAAAUUAGAGUGUUUCAAGCAGGCAAUUGCAGGAAUACAUUAGCAUGGAAUAACGAAUGUAUCUACAAUUUGGUUGAUUGUAGAAUACGAUUAAUAGGGACAGUUGGGGGCAUUAGUAUUUAAUUGUCAGAGGUGAAUUUCUUGGAUUUGUUAAAGACUAACGUAUGCGAAAGCAUUUGCCAAGGAUGGUUUCAUUAAUCAAGAACGAAAGAUAGGGGAUCAAAGACAAUCAGA